UCCCCACAGACGGCGCCA
rnacentral:sRNA from 1 species